rnacentral:lncRNA from 10 species
GCUCACAAGAAGCAAGCACAUAAAAGAGUUAGUCAUCGGGCCGAUUCAGCAGGGCACACAUUAGCUAGAUAUUGACCUGGGCUCCUUUCACACCAGAUCUAGGCACAGAGGUCACUCUGAGCUUCCAUUUGGACAGCUGCCUGUUCGUGGGAAGAUCACCAAGCUCUUAACCCAGGAAGGGAUGCUGUGCUGCAUAUUGGCGUUGUUGUGAGGCAUGGGAGAAGUCAGAUGAGGACCCAGGCCCUGUCUUUGAGGAGCUCACCACCCGGUAGGAGGGAAAGAGACUGCCAGGAACCUGAAAGUCAUGAGGACUGCAGAGAAUUCAGCACUGGAAAUAUAAAUGAAGCGCUAUAAGAGAAACCAACAAAAACCCCAAACUACCAGGUGUUUGGCGUUCCCGAAGGGGUCUAGGUGCACUUGCCGGCUUCUGGCUGGAUUUCUUUGAGGGCUAUCUUAUUACUGUCUCCUGAUUAUGAUGAUGGCUUGGUGUCUCUGUCCUUCAUUAGGGGCUGGUUUUUCUUCCUCAUUGCACUCUUCAUGCUUCUCUUUAUUCCAAGGCUGAGCUUUCUUAGGCAUAACUGGGGUGAAUGCUUUCAUGAAACCACACUUCUUCAUCAAGCUCCCAGGCCUGGGCAUCCAAAUCCUCUUGGGGGCUGUAAACCUGCUCACCUGCGGCUCACCUGUGGCUCAUCCGUUCUGUUGUCUUCCAAUACACUCAGCUCUGCAUGGAUAGGCUGCCUUUAGUGUAUGGGCCUGCCCAGACCAGCACAUGGGCAUCUGUUUCCCAGGAAAAACCCAGCAGUGGCUGUGGUGGCUGGAUGUGGGAUUGGAUGGGCACACAGAAAAACAUAAAAACCAUGGCAACAGUAAUCAUAAUAGUAAUUAAUAGUCAGGAUAAUAAUCAUCUAGCUACGGUGGCAAUGUACUUGAAAGACUAUUCUUUGGGUGUAUUUUUCUUAAUGUCCUAGAUGGAACAGGAUGAUUGGGCUUUUGAAGAUAUCAAAGAAACUUGAAAAGGACCAGACUGUAAUCAACGUUGAUUCCACUCACACUAAUGACGACCUGGUUUCUAAACUUGGCAACAUUAGACUUUCUGGACUUUUUUUUUUUUCUGAAGUGGUUGAAAGGAAACUGGAAGUGUGGAAAAUGGAAGGAUGAGGACAAACUGUAGGGCGCUGCCUCACUCCUGGACUCUAUAAUCCCAUUCCUCCAGGUGGGGGCCACCUGCCCACUGCUGGCUCUGCCCUCCCCAGUUUUUAAGGAUCCACACAGACUUUGCAAAGAUUUUGAGAUAUGUUGGACAUGAACUCUGGGUCUCUUGGAAAAGCCUGCUGGUGGUCUCACUGGGGAUAGGACAGUAUCACACCGGAUGCCUCCAGUUCUCGUGGAGGGGCUGUUCUGCAGCUGUGGGCCAGGACGGCCAUAGAGUCAAUGAGGAAAAACACCUGGAUGGUCACCCAGCCUCUGAGAAGACUUUGCACAAGCUGCUGAGGACACUAAGGCUGGAGACAUGGGACAUGGAUGCCCUGUGAUCAAUUAAGUUGGUUAACGUCACCAGCGUAGAUGAUGUCAACGCUUCACCCUCUGGAGGCCCCAGAAAGCAGCUUUCCUUCACACGCCGCCGGACUGUCCACUGAUGGAGGCGGAUGGAUGCUCUUGGCCGCAUUUCUCGGCACUCAGGUUGUGACUGUCCCAGGCUUCCUGUUAAAUGCAUUCCUGGUCCGAAUAGCUUCACCCACGUGCUCAGGGCAGCGGGUGGAGUGCCAUCUCCACAUUUUUCUGUAGGAAACCCUCCAAGGAGGUGCUGCCUCCUCCUUCGGGCAGUGAAAACUCCUCAGCAAACUGGGACAUAGGUGCCAGAUGUUCAUCAGGACUACCCUGGAAAGAAGUCCAGGCCAUCCAGAUCAGGGAGGCUGGGUCUGAAGCUGGGUCUGCCAAGGCCUGGUUUCUGUCCAAGCCUCACUAGGGGAGGGACUUAUGGUGCAAACUCCCCAUUCCCUCUGGUGUGUGCGUUGCAGCCGUGAUGCUGUUUGCCUCAACUUAUGGGUCUUCUCUGGGCCCAGAUUGAACCUUCCUAUCUGUUUCCACUAGCUUUGUAUGCCAUAUGGCAUUUUACAGCCCCAUACUAUGUAGGUAACAGAAACAACAGCACUUGCAAACUACAUAUAUUUCAAAAAACAACUAGGUCUUUUGAUUAAAUUAUAAGCUUUAAUUAUAUUCUAACUAAUUAGAACAUGUUUAACAUAGACCUCUCCCAUACCUGAAAAACUGAAUGAAAAGAAACUUACAAAUGAACCCUCUGUAGGAUUACCAUUAGGUUAAAAAGAUAACUAAAAAAUAUACUAUUUUAGGCCAAGUGUGAUGGCUCACACCUGUAAUCCCAGUGCUUUGGAAGGCUGAGGCAGGAAGACUGCUUGAGGCCAGGAAUUUGAGACCGGCCUGGACAAGACAGUGAGACUCUGUUUCUAAAAAAUAAAAAUAAAAAAAUUAGUUGAGCAUGGGGAAGGGUACCUGUUGUUCUAGAUACUCUGGAGACUGAGUCCGGAGGAUCACUUGAGCCCAGUAGUGCAAGGUUGCAGUAAGCUAUCAUGGUUAACACUGCACUCCAGCCUGAGUGAAAGAGUGAGACGCUGUCUCUAAAAUAAACACUAUUUUAAAAUUGCAACAUUCUCUUAGUCCCUUCAUCGUUUCAUGGUUUUCCCUCUAGCAAUUAUAUCAUCUUCUGACCUUCAUAUUCCCUAUAGGCAAGUUUUUCUAAACUUUUCCUUUAUAUGCUGUGUAAGGCCUGUUCCUCUUUCCCUACAACAGUGACCUGGAGUAGGCAACUACUUUUAUCCUUUUUAAAAGACUGAUUCAAGCCAUUCUUGUAUUUCUGCAUCAACUGCAACAUUUUAACAACCUAUUCAGGUUUCUCCUACUGCUGAACUCAAUUUGCCAGUAUUUUGAGUCUUCUGCAUAGUUUCAUAAAUGAAAUUGGACUGUAAUUUUUUGCAUUGUACUUCCCUGUAAAGUCACUGAGGGUCUGGUGUCUUUUGGGGGCAAUAUUUUUUUUUUUCUAGAACAGUUUUUGUAAUAGUUAUGUGUUCUCUUGGGUUUUCUGUAUCUUCUUGAAUAAACUUUACAUUGAUGUUUUAACUUAAAUUUAUGUAUAACUUUAUAUUUUUUAGAAAAGUAUCCAUUCCAAUUUUUUAAGUUUGUUGGCAGAAAGUGAUUUAUGGUGUCUUCUUGUGAUUUUGAAAAUCUUUAAGGUAUCCAUGUUUACAUUGCUGAUAUCAGUUGUGUUUUUUUCUCUUUGUCUCAGUGGGUCUGACUAGUUAUUUAUUCUAUUUAGCGUUUUCAAAGGAUCAGCUUUUGUUUCUGUUGAUCUUCUCUAUUAAAUCUUUGUUUCCUAGUUCAUCAAUACCUGCUCCUAUCUUUAUUAUUUACCUCCUAUAUCUUCUUUUAGAUUUACUUUUCUUUUUGUUCAAGCUUUUUGAAUUGAGCAGUUAAUUUGUUGAUAUAAAUGCACUCAUUUUGCUUUUUUAAUAAACACUUAACGCAAUAAAUUUUCUUCUAAGUGCCACUUGUAAUAGAUAUUGGAGUACUUUCAUUUCUAUUCUAAAUAAUUUGUAAUUUCUACAACAGGUUUCUCUUAACCUGGAAUUAUAUAAAAGUGCUAUUUUAAUGUUUCCAAUUAUAUUUAUUUAAACAAUCUUUAAUUGUGGAUUUCUAAUACAAUUACAAGUUUGUCAGAGAAAAUUCUCUGGUAUUUAUUAACACUUCUUUCGUAUUUAAUGUGUGGUCUCUUUUUCAACUCCUUGAUGUGUAAUUGAAAAGAAUAUAUUUUUCUUCCUUGGGUAAAUGAUAUUUAUAUGUAUUUACAAUAUU